AUUGAACGCUGGCGGCAUGCUUUACACAUGCAAGUCGAACGGUAACAGGCCUUCGGGUGCUGACGAGUGGCGAACGGGUGAGUAAUGCAUCGGAACGUGCCCAGAGGUGGGGGAUAACGCAGCGAAAGCUGUGCUAAUACCGCAUGUGAUCUGAGGAUGAAAGCGGGGGACCAGGCAGCAAUGUUUGGCCUCGCGCCUUUGGAGCGGCCGAUGUCAGAUUAGGUAGUUGGUGGGGUAAAGGCCUACCAAGCCGACGAUCUGUAGCUGGUCUGAGAGGACGACCAGCCACACUGGGACUGAGACACGGCCCAGACUCCUACGGGAGGCAGCAGUGGGAAUUUUGGACAAUGGGCGCAAGCCUGAUCCAGCAAUGCCGCGUGCGGGAAGAAGGCCUUCGGGUUGUAAACCGCUUUUGUACGGAACGAAAAGGCUCUGGCUAAGACCUGGGGCUGAUGACGGUACCGUAAGAAUAAACACCGGCUAACUACGU
rnacentral:rRNA from 1 species